CACGUAGGGGGCAAGCGUUGUCCGGAUUUAUUGGGCGUAAAGAGCUCGUAGGCGGCUUAGUAAGUCGGGUGUGAAACCUCCAGGCUCAACCUGGAGACGCCACCCGAUACUGCUGUGGCUAGAGUCCGGUAGGGGAGCGUGGAAUUCCUGGUGUAGCGGUGAAAUGCGCAGAUAUCAGGAGGAACACCGGUGGCGAAGGCGGGUCUCUGGGCCGAUACUGACGCUGAGGAGCGAAAGCGUGGGGAGCGAACAGG
rnacentral:rRNA from 1 species